rnacentral:rRNA from 1 species
GACGAACGCUGGCGGCGUGCUUAACACAUGCCAGUCGAACGGAAAGGCCCUGCUUUUGUGGGGUGCUCGAGUGGCGAACGGGUGAGUAACACGUGAGUAACCUGCCCUUGACUUUGGGAUAACUUCAGGAAACUGGGGCUAAUACCGGAUAGGAGCUCCUGCUGCAUGGUGGGGGUUGGAAAGUUUCGGCGGUGUGGGAUGGACUCGCGGCUUAUCAGCUUGUUGGUGGGGUAGUGGCUUACCAAGGCUUUGACGGGUAGCCGGCCUGAGAGGGUGACCGGCCACAUGGGGACUGAGAUACGGCCCAGUCUGCUACGGGAGGCAGCAGGCGAGAAUCUUGCACAAUGGGCGGAAGCCUGAUGCAGCAACGCCGCGUGCGGGAUGACGGCCUUCGGGUUGUAAACCGCUUUCGCCUGUGACGAAGCGUGAGUGACGGUAAUGGGUAAAGAAGCACCGGCUAACUACGUG